rnacentral:rRNA from 1 species
UACGUGAGGGUGCAAGCGUUAAUCGGAAUUACUGGGCGUAAAGCGUGCGCAGGCGGUUGUGCAAGACCGAUGUGAAAUCCCCCGGGCUUAACCUGGGAAUGGCAUUGGUGACUGCACGGCUAGAGUGUGUCAGAGGGGGGGUAGAAUUCCACGUGUAGCAGUGAAAAUGCGUAGAGAUGUGGAGGAAUACCGAUGGCGAAAGGCAGCC